rnacentral:lncRNA from 1 species
CACAUAGUGAGAUAGCAAGAGGGAGAGGCGGACAAUCUUUCAGUCCAAAAAUGAGAGAGAAGAUAGGCAUUCCACUGAGCUCACAAAAUCGGCAGUUCUCUUCAUCAACACUAUGUAAUACAUCUUUGAAAUACCCUUCAUCCAAGUAAACCAUCGGCAGUUUCAUCAGGUUCCAUAGCCGUCUCCAUAGGUCUUCGUCCCUGCUUCGCCCCAAUACCAAAAAUAAUCGAGUCUCACCACCCUCGACUAUAGCUCUGUUCAAUCACUCUGAAUUACUAGGCUAUACCGCUUUUCAAUCGAGUCGACCAAAUCAGUGGGUUUCAGUUCAAGAGGUCGUCUUGUUCGCGGUUCUGGAUUCUAGUCCUUUGCGGAACAAACACUCAAUUCGCUGUGUAAUCCAAGCUUGUGGUUCUGUCGAUUAAUUUGAUUGUUGCGGCUGCGUGAGGUCUAUUUUCUAACUCUACCUAAUCUUUGGUUUCGUUGCUCUUGUUGAUGCUUGAAUGGAAUAUUUGGUUGAUUCUCUGUUUGCAUUUUGCUUUUAAUAAACUUUGCAUUUGUCUUAUUUAGUGAAGGUUAGCUUAUCUUUUAGUUUAUUUAUUAUUUAUCUCAUUGAUGAAAGUGGUUAUUGAUAUAAUUAAUUAUACAUGUAAGUCCAUGGAAAUGAUAAUAAAUUGAAAGUUACUUAUGGCCAUGCUUGGAAAAGUUAGAGCCUUUUCAUUGUUUCAGGAACGUCUUUGGGGUUGGUUCGAAUUAACAAUUGUUGUAGGACAACAAGAAUUAAACAAAUAGGCAACUUUUAGGAUCUCACUCGGGGUCGGGAGGCAUUUAUUAUAACGUUUAAGCUUGCUUUCCUUCUAGGUGAGAGGUUGCCCCUUUAGUUGAUUAAUUUAUCUGGGAAUGUCCCGUAGAGUUUGUAUAUAUUAUUAUUACCCGGGGUAUGCCCCGAAGUGAAUGUAAACGGAGGUCGAGGCUACACCGUGGAGGAAAUAUAGUGUAGGUGAGCUUGAGAUUUUAAUUUUAAUUUUUUUUAUUUUUCUUUUAUUAGGCGGGGACAACCUCGAGCCUCUUCUAUAUUUAUUCUUGUUCUUUGUGUGUUUCUACUUUAAUUAGAAUAUUUUUAAAAGCCAACUUGAUCAUGUACGCAACCGUACCAGUUACGCGACUCGAAAAAUGCCUAACACCUUCUCCCCGAGUCAAAUGAACCCCCUUAUAUAGAAUCUCUGGUAUAAACUGGUUUAGAGUCAAAUAUGUUUUUAAGGAAAAAUUAUUUUUAAAUGGUGACUUGGCACACGAGAUUAUACGCCAAAUUGGCGACUCUGAGAAAAUCCCUUUUAAACAAAUAUUUUGUCACUUUCAUGAUUGAAAACCCAUUUGAGCUUAAAAAUCUUCUUUAUAUUCUUAAAGAGGGGUUAAUGUGAAAAAAUGGGUGUGACACCGAGCGAAGUGCAAAUGCUCAAAAUGACCGGUCGGGUCGUUACAAUUGUGAAACUAAGUAGUGAUGAUGAUAUUCUAGAUCCCUCUGUUAUGUAUUUCUUAUUUCGAAUAUCAUGUUACUUAGUUGUUUCUUUAUUCCUUUAUUGUUUUCCACUUAUGCUCGCACAGGUUUAUAAUGAGUGUCUUGUCAUAGCCUCGUCACUACUUUAUCGAGGUUAGGCUCGGUAUUUACGGAGUACAUCGGGUCGGUUGUACUCAUACUAUGUAUAUGCACUUCUUGUGCAGAUCCCGAUGUUAGUACCAGCGGUGCGUAGCACAGAUUGCUCGGAGCCAUCCUUCCAGGGGACUUGAGGUAGAGUUGCACAGAAUUUGCAGACCCUGAAGUCCCCUUUCUAUCUUUAUUAUUGUUUAUUUCAUUUCGGAUAGUUGUAUUUCAUUUCAGACUCUGUUUGUAGUAUUCUAGCAGCUCAUGUACUUGUGGCACUGGUUUUUGGGAUUAG